CCAAACAGGAGCUUGAAAUGUGCUUUAGGCAUGCAGCUGGGCAUACUCUCUUGUGCCUCUGCCAACUUCAUGAAAAGAACUUCCUUUGGAAGUUGCUGGACCUUUAGCUUGGGUCCCAUAAUGAGAGAUAUGGACCUGAGCUGAGCUGAUUUGAUCUGCAGAGCUGACUAACCAAGCCUGACCUACAUCAGCUGACUUCCAACGGACCUGCAGAGGCCAUGAAAUUGCAGAAUAGAAAAGGACUUUAGAAAUUAUCUUGUUUAGGCAGACAAAAGCCACCCCAUCACUCCUUGAAUAGAUACCUGAAGGACUGGCACAGACACUAAGAAGCAGCUAAGUUUCUAGAAGCCCUGAAAAAGGACUAUGUCAUCGAUUGCUUCAGGAUCAGAGACUUGGUAGAAGCAGUAAGAAAAGUGGACUCCUGUUCUGCCAAGGCCUGCGAGCUUUGUGCCCUGGGGGGCCAGGCCGGUCACAUCUGUGUUCCUGGCCUUCUGGCUUCUAUGUUUGGCUGAUAGAAGAUACCAGCAAGAGGCUGGAGAGUGGGAGGAGGAAGAGAGCUCAAAUCCUCGUGUCCAGAUGAGCACACACCUGGUGGCGAGGGCGGCCCACGAUGGAAGGAAAAACAGCUCGGGGGGCGUCAUCUCCUGCAAAGCCAGCCUUGCACAGGCCAGAGCCAUUGUCACACACAAGUGCAGUGGUUUCCUCUUCACACAUGGACCACGGGGCAGGAGAAGGUGGAAGACACUGACCUUCACUGGAUCUUGGCAUCUGACAAAGUCUCCUGUGACAUCCCUAUUGAUAAAGCCAAGUGGGCUGAACAGUAAAUCAAUCAGGCAUAUUUGUAGCAGCCUAAAUUAGUCACUGAAAUGUGUUAAUUGAUGGAUCAACAUCAACCUGGAGACAGUGAUAUGUCUUAGGCCCUACUCUUGAUUUAUUUUUUAUGUGACAUUUUAAUAAAUAAGCUCAAUGAAAAUACAGAGCACAUGCUGAUAACUCCCACAUAAGACAGACUGAGGAGAGAGUAGUAUUAAAUACGUUGGAAGGGAGAACCAAAAUCCAAAGCAGAUCUCAAAAAGCAGAGAAAAUAAGCUAAGUCCAGUACAAUUAAAUUUAACGGGAUAAACAUGAGGUUCUGCCCGUGAGUCUAAAUGACCAAACUGUGAACGCUCUUGUUCAGCCUCUGUGAGCAGGACCUGGUGCUCCGCUGACAGUCGGGAGUGUGCUGUGGCCCCAGCGAAAGCUCACCCCACCUCUGGCUGGAGAGCCGUGUCCCGAGCCUGGGGACGCCCGUAACGGGAAACGCGUGGGGAAGUGGCUCGUAUUCACUGCUGAUGCGUCAAAUUGUACAGUUUUUUAGAAGGGGAAUUUGUAAGCACCAUUCAAAGCCUUAAAAUGAACAUGUAUUUUUUUGCGUAUCAUGUACAGGGUGGGCAAAAGGAGGUUUACAGUUGUGAGUAUGUGAAACCCAGAGUUUAUUCUUGUGUUAUUAUUUAUUAGUUAUUGUACUACUUUCCAUAUGAACAACUGUGCGUAUCUUUUGAUAGAAAAAUGUGCAUGUCUUUUGACCCUACAAAGACACGUCCAGGGACUUCCCCUUGGGAAGCACUGGUGGGUAAGCAGAACGAUUUGGCCAGGAGCCAGUUUACCACAGCUUUGUGGAAAAUCACCAAGAUGAGAAACAACUUUAAUGUUGAAAAGUUAUUGAAUGAUAAACGGAUUUGUAAACUAAUUGCCAGAAGCCUCCAUGCGACAGAGAGAGCAGAAGAUGCAAUGCAACGGGAGAGGCCCAGCUGCUUUGUUAAGUGAAACCCGGCAGCGUAUUCCUGUUUCCAUUUUUGGAAAAUAAAUGUUCUCUUUCCCUUUUUAAAAAAUAAAAGUAUUCUUAAUUAGAAAACGGGGGCCCUUCACAUAUAUUAUCUAUUUAAUCCUCUCAAAACCCUGAAGGGAGGUGUCUUUAGUUCCACUUUACAGAUUUGGAAGCCAAGUCUCUGCGGAGGGAAAGAACGUAACCUAACGUCUCCUCGCCAGGCAGAGGCGGGGCUGGCGGACCCCACAGCCCGGACUUGCACCUUCCUCUCCACCUCAGUGAAACCCUCAUAACUUCUCCAUGUUUGGUGCUUUCGCUUCUGCUUCUCUGUCUCUCUGGAGCUGCUGGCAGCACAUGCCCUGAGACAGAAAGGUCUGUGUUCUUGUUUCUCUCUGACUCUCUGGGCCCCUCCGAUGCCAGGAUUGUGUCUACAUUUAUGUUUCUAGCCCCUGCCUCUAUUUCAGUGUUUUGCACACAGUAGGUGCUCAAUGAAUGUUGGAUGACAACCUCACCACCUGAGUGCCCCGGUCCCAGGCCUGGCCUGUGCUUCCCCUGAUGUCCCCGGGUUCCCACAGUCCAGUAUCACAACAACGUGGUCACAUGGGCCUGAUUUAAAGCCACUCGGGGACUGUUUUCUCUACAGAAGCUGUUCGGCAAACAGUUAAUGUUUCCACAUUCUAGCAGGGGUCCACCUUGAGGGGAAAGCAACCUUGAAAACUAGUAGGUAGCCAAGAGGCAAGGCCACACCUCUGUGGCUGUCUUGCUCUGGGGUCCCCUCAACAUUUCUCUCUCUCACGUGUGAUUUAUAGGUCAAGCCUGUCUGGCUUUUCAGUGAACCCUUCUGUCUCCUCCUGCCUCCCCCCCACUACAGAAAGAGAGUGUUGGACCUUGUUUCCCAGCAGCAGAGACAAGCCACAAAGCAACUUAAAGUUGUCAGCAAUGCCAUUCUGCAGCACUUGGGUGGAUUUAAAGCUACUUUCUCCAAGGCAGACCCAGAUGAAAAAGUAGGGAGGCGGCGAAGGCGGGGUCAGGGCUGCCGGCCUGGAGUUGGAGCCUCCGCGGGGCCCCACGCUGCCCUGGGAACAAGGGUUUUAACGCAGCCAGACUCUCCUGGAAUGUCUCUGUCGGAGAAACUCGACACCCUCCUCAGCUGCCUGCUGGUAACUUGGGGCUAGACUCGAGCAUGUCAGCUGAACCAGAGCCAAAGGCACUGUGGUCUCCCGGGGUCACAACCGCUUCGCGCUGGCAGAGAGCUGAGUGAAACGUUCUGGCUCUGUCAGCAUGUACUACAUCUGGGCUUCAUUGAGGAUUUCACGAACUUAGAAACACAGCUCCCCGCUCCUCCCCAAGGGUGGCCAAAACCCAAACACAGAAUGAGCAUGAAGAAUUGGCUAGGCCGGGCUAGGUAGCUCCUUUGGUUAGAGUGUGCGCCAAGGUCGCGGGUUUGAUCCCUCGUCAGGGCACAUACAGGAAGCAAGCAAUGAACGUGUAACUAAGUGCAACAACAAAACGAUGUUUCUCUCUCUCUAA